GAGAGAGAGAGAGAGAGUGUGUAUAAAGAUGGUAUCAGAAUUCCGUCCUGCAUGAUUCCUGAUAAAAUUUUCUUAUUAUCCCUAGUUACAUAUAGCUUUAGAACAAGCCACCAAUCAACAUACAUAAAAUUUGCCCAUGUAAUACGAAUUCUAAUGCUCGCAUCUUAUGAAUAGUAUCAGAUCCAAUUAAAUAAUGGCUCCCAAAUGAGUGAAAUAAACUACUUGUUAUAAUUCCAC
rnacentral:misc_RNA from 1 species